rnacentral:tRNA from 1 species
GGGAGUUUAGCAUAUCGGCUAUGCAGCGGUCUCCAAAACCGUCGAGACGGGUUCGACUCCUGUAACUCCCG